GCAGCAGUGAGGAAUAUUGGGCAAUGCCCGAAAGGGUGACCCAGCAACGCCGCGUGGAGGAUGAAGGUCGUAAGAUUGUAAACUCCUGUUAGAGGGGACGAAUAACACCGAUCGACUCGGUGCUUGACUGUACCCUCAGAGAAAGCCCCGGCUAACUACGUGCCAGCAGCCGCGGUAAUACGUAGGGGGCAAGCGUUGUCCGGAUUCACUGGGUGUAAAGGGCGCGCAGGCGGGUUAGCAAGUCAGAGGUGAAAUCCUACAGCUUAACUGUAGAACUGCCUUUGAAACUGUUAAUCUUGAGUGCGGAAGAGAGAGACGGAAUUCCAGGUGUAGCGGUGAAAUGCGUAGAUAUCUGGAAGAACACCAGUUGCGAAGGCGGUCUCUUGGUCCGUUACUGACGCUCAGGCGCGAAAGCGUGGGGAGCAAACAGGAUUAGAUACCCUGGUAGUCCACGCCCU
rnacentral:rRNA from 1 species